rnacentral:rRNA from 1 species
AGUGAACGCUGGCGGUAGGCCUAACACAUGCAAGUCGAACGGCAGCACAGUAAGAGCUUGCUCUUACGGGUGGCGAGUGGCGGACGGGUGAGGAAUACAUCGGAAUCUACUUUUUCGUGGGGGAUAACGUAGGGAAACUUACGCUAAUACCGCAUACGACCUACGGGUGAAAGCAGGGGAUCUUCGGACCUUGCGCGAUUGAAUGAGCCGAUGUCGGAUUAGCUAGUUGGCGGGGUAAAGGCCCACCAAGGCGACGAUCCGUAGCUGGUCUGAGAGGAUGAUCAGCCACACUGGAACUGAGACACGGUCCAGACUCCUACGGGAGGCAGCAGUGGGGAAUAUUGGACAAUGGGCGCAAGCCUGAUCCAGCCAUACCGCCUGGGUGAAGAAGGCCUUCGGGUUGUAAAGCCCUUUUGUUGGGAAAGAAAAGCAGCAGGUUAAUACCCCGCUGUUCUGACGGUACCCAAAGAAUAAGCACCGGCUAACUUCGUG